UUAUUUGUUUGGGAAGAUUAUUAUCUAGUUGUAACAUACUCACACCUGAUUACUCAAAAAAACUCAUUAUCGCAAGCUCGACUACAUCAAUGUCACCCGAAAGCUGCAAGAGCCUCCUACACGCUAACA
rfam:Populus trichocarpa isolate Nisqually-1 chromosome 2, whole genome shotgun sequence.